GGAGAGAUGCCCGAGAGGCCGAAGGGGCACGACUGGAAAUCGUGUGUUCCGACAAAAUCGGGACCGAGGGUUCGGCGACCCCCGCUUGGGCGGGGGGAGGCGGAGCGAACGUAGUGAGCGAGCACAUCCCUCUCUCUCGG
rnacentral:tRNA from 1 species